CUCUAAUCUUAUAUAUAUUUUUUGCAUUUAUUAUUUGUAAGUUGUUCUUAUUAUAUAUUAUUGUUCUUGUGAAAUUUCGUAUUUUAUAAUUUAUAGUUUUCUAAAAAAAGUGAAGGUAAAAUUGUUUUGUACAAUCAAUAAAAAAUAUAGUUACAAAAAAUAAUAAAGGUGCUAGUUCUUCAAAAUCUAAAUUUCAUCCUGUUAAAAUAAAUACUGAAUUUACACAUGUGAGUGAAACUAGUUUUUCCCGUUCCGGUCUUAUAGAAAUUAAUUCGAAUACUCCUAUAGUUUCCCAUUAGCUUUAUGAAAGACGUUAUGGUAAUAAUCAAAGAAAAUGAAGAAGUAAAAAUUGAUUAAGAAGAAGAUCUAGAUGAUAUACCGAUUAAUUCCGACUUCAAUAAUAUAUGUACUGAAGUUUCACCUCCGAUUGAAACUAUUCGUAUCCCUAUUGUUCCAACUAGAGUUAACACCAAGGUACAACGUCGUUCUUGCUUCCUACCUGGAAAAGGAAGAGCUCAGAACAAAAGUUUCUCCCCUUUUCUAUUCCUGUACUUGUAUAUCUUUUAGUAUUAAGUAAAGAAAUUAGUGGAUAAGUAUUCUGGAAGUUGUAGUGCUAGCGUUCAUAAUGUUUGCCUGUCUUUAAGUGUUUCUUACUUUAUCCUAUGCCUUGAUCCCUAAAUGUAGUGCCUUUCUCUCAUUAUCGCUAUGUAUUUGUCCAAUACACUUGACCCUCUACUUUGAUUGUUUAUUGCUAAACCUGUGGGAAUCUGGAACUGUAAGUACAUUAAUUGUGCUUGUUAAUCUCAACUCUGCAUUUUCCAAAUUAAUUUGCCUUUAGUUUUGAGAAGUAGUCCUGCUCUUACAGAUUCUCUGAAGUCUAAUUGUGGCCUACAAUAUCUUAUUAACCAGUCUUCAAGGAGCUAUGUUGUAACAAGUAAAAUUGAUAGCUGGAUAUUUAGAAGAUAUACAGAUAUCCAUGUGUUCUAUUACUGGAGUUUAAGGUCUAAAUUAUUAGUUAAAAUAUCACAAUGGAUAAUUAAUAGUUUACUGUUCGGAUAAAAUGUGAAAUUCUUGACGAUAUUCUGGCAAACACUCAUGAGCUAAAUAGUGUAGUUUGGAAACGAAAAGAAGCAAUUUCUUAGUAACUUUGUAUAUUGCAGUUUGAUGCUUAGAGAUACGGGGAAAGCCACUGAUUACACUAUCUAUUACUUUCUACAUGAUACUACAUCUCUCUCGAUAAUACUAGUAUGCAAUUUCCCAGUGAAGAUAGUAUAGGUUGCUAUACCAUAUGAGUCUGUCUAAUGUCUACCUUGUAUAAAUGUGAAACCUCUUGAUUUUUAGGUGGAUAGAGGGAAAAUUCCACUUUUUAUGUUGUGAAAGGAUUUUUGGAGAAACUGAUGAGAAAAUUCAUGGAUCAGGAAGCUUCUUGUCAGAGUUUCUUGAUGGCCUUAUAGUAUGAAACAAACUUCUUUAUACUUCCUUUUCUUAAUCUACUAUAUUUUCUUUUCUCUAAUUGCACUCAUGAAUUUCAUUGUUUGCGGGGUGGGGGGGUUGCGAGUUUGGUACGUAUGUCAUGUACCGUUUGCUCUAGUUAGACCGACAUAGCACACCUAGAUGAGUAUAUCCCAGGAUUUUCUUGCUCUUGUUUGGCUAUUUUUAGCUAUCAACCCACCACCGUUCUUCUCCUUUAUCUAGCUUGGAAAUUGACUAAAAGAAGUGCCUGCCUGAGAGUAGAAAACGUUAUAUGUUACCUCAAGUAAGACUGACAAACACCAGGUUAACAUGAAAGAAGUCUCAUAAGCUAGGGAAAAAAAAAGAAGAAAAAGUCCCAUAUAGCCUUUACUUCAAAAAAUCCUCUGCGUCUUUUUUUCCUUUAAUCUAAUAUCCAAAAAGGUGUUUUGGAACCAUUGAAAUAGCCUACUAGGAUCCAAAUACAAUAUGUUGAGUUCCAUAUCGGUGGAUAUGAGAAAAAUUGGUCUCUUUAUACGGUGUUGUACAAUCCUCACCUUAUGAGGUAGUUUUUGCCUUUUUAGAGUUGAGUUAGGUUCAAGAUCCACAUCUUUAUGGUAUCACAGCAGGUCCAUCCCAGUUUAUUGUUUACCUGAUGUUGGGCUCCCAUCUUACAUUGUCCACGCUCUAUAUGUUCAGUCUGCAAGGGGUGUUGAUCCCACAUAGGUGUGUAUGAGGAAAGUUGGCAUCUUUAUAUGGUCUAGGAUAAUCUCACCCUAUAUGCUAGUUUUGGGGUUGAGUUAGACUCAAGGUGUAUAUCUUUAUUAUCGCAAUAGAAGAAGAUAAAAUGAGGUUUCAAAUAUUCUGCAUAAAAUUUUAUCUGUCCUCUAUUGAGAUAAAACUUAGCUUGCAUCUCUAAUUAGGUAGCAGGGACUUGGACAUGAAUAUGACAUUUGCAUGAACAACAUGCCUACCUGAUAUAUUGGUAACAUGUAGUUUUCACUUAUCCCAUCAAAGGCUAUUAUUAAUGGAAAUGAGGUUUCUUGGGCUACCAAAAUAUUAUAAAACAAAUCCGUACCCCGAAAUUUUAGAAAUCUCUGCACACUGUUCGAAUCGUUGUUGAUAAUGGGCCUGCCCCUCUAUUCUUUUCCUGUAAAAUAUCAAAGUUUUGUGUGUGGCAGGAUUCGUACCUGUGAAGUGUGCCUAACCACACAUCAUCUGUUACACCUUUACCACUAGACCAGAGCCAUGUAAGUCCUUCCCCAAAACAUGAAGCUUAAUCAUUCUUGAAGGUCAGCUCAACCUGUUCAGCUUUUUGGUUCAAUCUCAUUUUCUCAUGCUCAAGAUUUUUUCGUUGCAUGUCAAGCUAUUUUCCCAAGAACUAACUCUAGAAACCGUUAAGACUUGUGGUUACUCUUUUGGAGGGUGGAGUUAUGGAGGAAGCUAUUGGAAAUAGAAGUUUGUCGACAUCUACAGCCUGUUCUUUUAUUAUUAGUGUGAGAGAGUUAUGAGUCAGUUAUGUCAUUCAAAAUCUAUAAUUUUUGGCUCUCUAUUAUAAGUAUUAGGUUCAACGCGAGCACUUUCAUACUCUUUUUUUUAUUGUCUUUAAGGUACCCUGUUCUAUACUAUGGAUACAAACAAUUUCUUAUCCAACAUACUCGGUUCCUGUGGAAGUACAGGACACAUUGAAGCAAGAACUUGGAUGGUUUUGUAGUGAUUUCUAUAGCACUAAUGAGCAAGAAAGCAUAUAUGUCGUUAGAAUCAGCAGCUUUUGUGCAGCUGAAUCAUGUGUUUCUUGCUAAAGGAAAUUUGCUCAUUAAAUAAGCAUUUUCAAUAAAGCUUGCACUAGAUUCUCACCUUUUUUGGGUUAGUCAUAUAAAUCGAAUCUUAUUGGUAAUGGGUUUGAUUCUUGAAUCUAGUCAAAAUUACAUAGGUGAAUGUAGAGAUCAGCAGUGUCCUACUUGAGACGAACCACUUGUCAUCUACAAACUGAAAGGGAAUAGAGAAAUAAGCUUGAGAAAGUGUUCUUCGAAGGGGGAACCUAUCCUCUCGUUGUCAAAGAGAACAUAAGUGAAAAUACACGACAGACGGAAAACAGAGAACAUGAUGUUUCCUAUUUUCUCUCCUUUGGGGCUUUGAGGAAAGAAAGCACUGCCAAAACCAAUAAGAAAGCAGAAAUUGUAUGAGGGAAGGUGAGGAAGGGUUUCGUUGCUAUGGGUAAAUGGAUGCCUGCUUAAAUAUCUAACUUCCACUUACUUUGUUCAUUAGAAAAGUGGUUUACCAGUCUAAGUUCAGUCAGCACUUUGUAAGGACUGAACAUAAAGUGUGUAUCAAAAAUUGUAUAGAGUUCCUCUGAAGCAACUGUUUGAUCUUGUCCUCAAUUACGUAACUCUGUCUACAUAAUCUCACAUGCGUUUGCACUUCACAUAAUCAUGCCAGUUUCACUACCUAAUGCAACCAUUUGGCGUUUUUACAUGUAAAUAUUAAAAUGCUUCCUCCUGCUGCUGUCCACUGGAAGAGAUUUUUCGAGACAACUACUUGUCAAAAAGGAAAAGUGGAAUAAUCUUUUUCAGGGCACCUUUCUUGUUAGAAACUGUAUCCUUCCACAGGUUCCACAUGCAAGGAUGUAUUAUCUGAGCCCCUAGAUUUUGAUCUUCUACACUUGAACAUCUUGAGCUCACACGCUAGGGAUUAAGCAUGGAGCGUGAACGCAGUCUUCUUUCAGUGGGAGAACUGGGAGGACUUUGCUAAUGUGAGGAAAUUGAUGAAUAAAUGUGGAGUGUUAAAGCAACCAGGAAGUAGUUGGAUAAGAUCCUAAUGGUUAAGCAGAAAUCCUCUCUACAACACUCAUCCUCAUACAUCUAAGUUGGUCUAAUUAACCGCCUCUCUAUAAAACUUAUCUUUCAGUUUCAAUGCUACGUUUUAAUCACACAAGGCUCCAGAGGGAAACCUCCACUUCUACAAUGUGUGAUAUCAUCGUCGAAGUCUCCACUCUCCAGGAUUAUAGACUCAAGAUACAUGAAUCUCUCUUUUGGAAAUAUUUUGUGUGUCAAACCUCACUUUCAUGUCUACCUCAUGCAUCACAUCAUUGUAUUUUCACUUCACACAUUAUGUCGGCCUGCUCAACCUGAACCCUUCAGCCUCCAAGAUCCACUAAGAUCUAUUUAGUGGUAUUUAAAUAAAUAAAAGAAUAUGUAAUAAAUAUGUCCAAGAUCCACUAAGAUCUAUUUAGCUGUAUUUAAAUAAAUAAAAGAAUAUGUAAUAAAAAUGAGUUAUGUUAUGCAAGUUAAAA